UAGGUUAACGAGGCGAACCGGGGGAACUGAAACAUCUAAGUACCCCGAGGAAAAGAAAUCAACCGAGAUUCCCCCAGUAGCGGCGAGCGAACGGGGAGCAGCCCAGAGUCUGAAUCAGCUUGUGUGUUAGUGGAACGGUCUGGAAAGUCCGACGGUACAGGGUGAUAGUCCCGUACACCAAAAUGCACAGGCUGUGAACUCGAAGAGUAGGGCGGGACACGUGGUAUCCUGUCUGAAUAUGGGGGGACCAUCCUCCAAGGCUAAAUACUCCUGACUGACCGAUAGUGAACCAGUACCGUGAGGGAAAGGCGAAAAGAACCCCGGCGAGGGGAGUGAAAAAGAACCUGAAACCGUGUACGUACAAGCAGUGGGAGCACCUUCGGGUGUGACUGCGUACCUUUUGUAUAAUGGGUCAGCGACUUAUAUUCUGUAGCAAGGUUAACCGUAUAGGGGAGCCGCAGGGAAACCGAGUCUUAACUGGGCGUUAAGUUGCAGGGUAUAGACCCGAAACCCGGUGAUCUAGCCAUGGGCAGGUUGAAGGUUGGGUAACACUAACUGGAGGACCGAACCGACUAAUGUUGAAAAAUUAGCGGAUGACUUGUGGCUGGGGGUGAAAGGCCAAUCAAACCGGGAGAUAGCUGGUUCUCCCCGAAAGCUAUUUAGGUAGCGCCUCGUGAACUCAUCUUCGGGGGUAGAGCACUGUUUCGGCUAGGGGGUCAUCCCGACUUACCAACCCGAUGCAAACUACGAAUACCGAAGAAUGUUAUCACGGGAGACACACGGCGGGUGCUAACGUCCGUCGUGAAGAGGGAAACAACCCAGACCGCCAGCUAAGGUCCCAAAGUCAUGGUUAAGUGGGAAACGAUGUGGGAAGGCACAGACAGCCAGGAUGUUGGCUUAGAAGCAGCCAUCAUUUAAAGAAAGCGUAAUAGCUCACUGGUCGAGUCGGCCUGCGCGGAAGAUGUAACGGGGCUAAACCAUGCACCGAAGCUGCGGCAGCGACACUAUGUGUUGUUGGGUAGGGGAGCGUUCUGUAAGCCUGCGAAGGUGACCUGUGAGGGUUGCUGGAGGUAUCAGAAGUGCGAAUGCUGACAUAAGUAACGAUAAAGCGGGUGAAAAGCCCGCUCGCCGGAAGACCAAGGGUUCCUGUCCAACGUUAAUCGGGGCAGGGUGAGUCGACCCCUAAGGCGAGGCCGAAAGGCGUAGUCGAUGGGAAACAGGUUAAUAUUCCUGUACUUGGUGUUACUGCGAAGGGGGGACGGAGAAGGCUAUGUUAGCCGGGCGACGGU
rnacentral:rRNA from 1 species